rnacentral:rRNA from 1 species
UACGAAGGGAGCUAGCGUUGUUCGGAAUUACUGGGCGUAAAGGGCGCGUAGGCGGUUUUGUAAGUCAGAUGUGAAAGCCCCGGGCUUAACCUGGGAGGUGCAUUUGAAACUGCAAGGCUAGAGAUCGAGAGAGGAAAGUGGAAUUACGAGUGUAGAGGUGAAAUUCGUAGAUAUUCGUAAGAACACCAGUGGCGAAGGCGACUUUCUGGCUCGAUACUGACGCUAAGGCGCGAAAGCGUGGGGAGCAAACAGG